rnacentral:sRNA from 1 species
UUUUUUUCUUCUUCUUCCUCGAAGAGAGAGAGAGAGAGAGAUUUU